rnacentral:rRNA from 1 species
AGACGUCUACAUUAGAUACCCCUGUAGUCCCAGCCGUAAACUAUGCGCGUUAGGUGUAUCGGUGACCACGAGUUACCGAGGUGCCGAAGGGAAACCGUGAAACGUGCCGCCUGGGAAGUACGGUCGCAAGGCUGAAACUUAAAGGAAUUGGCGGGGGAGCGCCACAACGGGUGGAGCCUGCGGUUUAAUUGGACUCAACGCCGGACAACUCACCGGGGACGACAGCAAUAUGUAGGCCAGGCUGAAGACCUUGCCUGAAUCGCUG